CCUUCCAGCAGAGCGUCUUAAAUUGCUGUUGAAUGGCUCUGACUCAUCACCUGACGCUCGUUUGUUUUUUUUUUUUUUUCCUCUCGUUUUCCAUUAUAGAAACCUUAGCUUGUGAGUCAGGAUCAGAGAGAAAAGCGUGAGCCUGGCCGAGGGUGGGGGUGGGGAGGGCGUAAAGGCUGCGUGGGGGGCAAGGAACGGAGACAGAAGCCCCACCCAGUGAAUCCCCGCUUUGCCCCGAGGGUUUCUCUCGCCAGGACCGCGGAGCCCCCUGCCAUCUCUUUGACUGCAGGGGACGGGGUGGGGGGUGCAGCUCAUCCGAAGAGGGAAACCGCACCCACACCCGCGGGUUUCUCCGCCUGCCGUGUCCUCGCCAGGCUGGUCCCUCUGAACCAGGAGUCCCCGACUCCCGAGUCAGGUGUGGGUGGUUUUUUGUUUUUUUUUAAUUAAGGUAUAGUUGAUUCACAAUAUUAUAUUAGUGCCAGGUGUACAACAUUCCGAUUCAGUGUUUUUAUAAUUAUACUCCAUUUAAAGUUACUGCUAAACAACGGCUGUUCCCUGUGCUGUACAACAUACCCUCGGUGCUAACCUGGUUUAUUCACAGUGGUUUCUGUCCCUUAAUCCCCUUCCCCAUCUUGCCCCUCCCCCCUUCCCACUCCCUACCGAUAACCACUAGUUUCUAUCUGUGAGUCUCUUUUGUGUACAUUUAUUUUUUUAGAUUACACAUAAGUGGUGUCUCCUUGAAUGUUCAGUCGCUCACUCCUGUCCGACUCUUUGCUACUCUUAUGAACUGUAGCCUGCCAGGCUUCUCUGUCCAUCGGAUUUCCCAGGCAAGAAUACUGGAGUGGGUUGUCAUUCCCAACCCAGGGAUCGAACCCAGGGAUCGAACCCAGGUCUCCUGCAUUGCCAGAUUCUUUACCACCGAACCACCUCAGAAGCCCCCAUCUAAGUGAUAGCAUAGAAUAUUUGCCUUUGUCUGACAGGGGUGGCUUUUGUAAGGGCAAGUAUAAGUUAAGAAUAGAGGCUUACUGCCUGUAGCUGAAAGGGGGGAAAAAGCCUUCUCCAACCUCCCCCUUUUUCUUUCAGAAUUUCUUUUUCUCUGUCCUUUCAAACUUGGGUAAAUCGUUUUAAUGGUCAAGGAAGCCACUUGCCAGUCUUACGACACAAUCGUUUCCUCCAGGGCCUGGAGCUGUCCCUUUGCAAAGUCAGAGGAGAUAAGGCCUUGGCUCCCAGUGCCCGGGGAGAAGAUGGGCCCGAACUGUCAUCUGACUCCUCGUUGUGAAACCUGCAGAUGUAAUUCAUGUACCCACUGAGCAGCCUAAGAACGAGGCUACUUCCUGUCUGCAUCCCUUCAGCAGACUGCCUGCCAUACCCAUCACAUUCUGGUUUAACGCUUGCUCAAUAGUCAAACCGUUUUCUUUCUCUUCUAUCAUCAUGGAGAGGUUUUCGGCCUUAGGAGCAGAUUUUGUUUUCAAUCUCUUCCCCACACUUUGCACAGCACCGGGAAUGAAUCUCAUGUCAGGGACAGGCAGAGACACGAAUCCUCCUAUUGACCCGAAGAAGGCAGUCCAGGCCCAGCGGUCUGCGGCUUCUCUCCCAAAGUUUUCAGCUGCUGAUUUUUUUUUAAGAUUGAUUUAUUUAUUUUUGGCUGUGCUGGGUCUUCAUUGCUGUGUGGGGGCUUUUCUCUGUGGUGAGCGGGAGCUGCUCUCUGGUUGCCGUGCGUGGGUCUCUCAUUGUGGUGGCUGCUCUUGUGGUGGAGCCCCGGUUCUGGGGCUUCAGCAGUUGCGGCACAUGGGCUCAGCAGUUGCAGUUUUUGGUCUCUAGCUCACAGGCUCAGUAGUUGUGGUGCAUGGGCUUAGUUCCACAUGCUCCUUGGCAUGUGGAAUCUUCCCAGAUCAGGGACAAAAUGCAGUCUCCUGCAUUGGCAGGUGGAUUCCUACCCACUGGCAGUGGUGGUUUAGUCCCUAAGUCGUGUCUGAUUCUUGUGACCCCAUGAACUGUAGCUCGCCAGGCUCCUCUGUCCAUAGGAUUUUCCAAUCAAGAAUGCUGGAGUGGGUUGCCAUUUCCUUCUCCAGGGUAUCUUCCCAACCCGGGGAUCAAACCUGAGUCUAAUACACUGCAGGCAGAUUCUUUACCGACUGAGCUACCAGGGAAGCCCAGGGGCCACCAGGGAAGCCCCCAGCUGCUGAAUUUCUUACUUGUGGGUUUUGAAUUGUAGGCAGAACAUGCUCUGUGAGCAUCAAAAUAUUGAGCCUAAGUCUACAGGAACGGAAUUUUGUAAAUGUCCCAAGAUGGUUGCUGAUGGCCCAUGUGUUUUGAGUCCAUCUCCCACCUGAGAGGCCAGGUGGCCGGUGAAAGUCCUAGGAAUUGUGUCACUCCACGUGGCACCAGAUCCCUUGCUACCUCGUCCCUGUGCAGCCUGCCCUUGGCUGUGGCUGUCCUCUGAGCAAAACAGUGAAAUCAAAGAGGCCCUUCCGCUGCACAGGACAUAAUUACCUGACCCAAGAUACUCCCCUCCUUUACUACCAGCAUUCUUUCUCUGAGUCAGCCCAGGACUCUCAGGAGUUGCAGCUGAAUGAGCUUUAUUCAGCGUCUUUAGAGGCAGAAGCACCUGGGAAGGCGCUGCGGGGUGCGUCACACCUUAACCGGGUUGCUUUUUGCAAAUGUCCACGGAGACUUCACACUUAAUGAAGCUUUGCCAGGAGGAGCCAACCGGAGAAAGCCAAACGUGGCCCCCAACCAAUCACAUAGGAGCUC
ensembl:lncRNA